AAUGCACAUGUGGAAAUGCAUGGAGAAGGGGCACGUGGAAGGCUGUUCCUGUACCACUGUGCAAUGGACGAGGUCACUGUGAAAUGAUAACCACUGACAGAUGGCCUGCAGGAUAUUUCACAUAUUUUCAGCAUGUUAGAGAUAAGGAAUCUGAGCUCUCACCUCAUCUAAUAACCUCUCCUUAGAGAUGAAGAAACUGAGGACCAGAUAGUUUGGCUGGCUGGUAUGGGGAUCUGAACCCUGGACCUUGGUGUUAUAACACACUCUAACCACCUGAGCUAACUGGUCAGCCCCGCUGGAUUAAUUGAAUGUCAAGACUUUAAAUAUCUUAAUUUCAAAAGGACAUUGUGAUAGAAUAAAUGACCUUUUAGUGAGUAAAUACCAUAAGUGUAACUCCCAGACCAAAGCAUUUAAGAGUUGGUGUGUGACCCUGCAGCUCUCUUCUGCUGCAGCAACCAUGGGGACAUCAUGAUCCAGGUGGUGCAGCUAUAAAGAGUCAAAGUCCCUAUCAGCUCAGGUCUUUGAGAAUCUGUAUGGAAGACAGUCCCCUAGUGAUCCAAAUAAAACAUGUAAUGUGAGCAAGAAUAAACCUCUGCUUAUGUUAGGCCACUGAGAUCUGGGGGUUAAUUUGUUAUACAGCAUGGUCUAGCAUAGCCUGAUUAAUACACAGUAGUAUUUACAAUGGAAUGUGUUUAACAAUCAAAAUACAUAAAUAUGUAAUUGUAAAGCCUCGUAUGUCUUAGAGAACAUUUUAUUCAAUAAAAGUAAAUCAAAUAAAGAAUGGA